rnacentral:misc_RNA from 1 species
GUAAGUUUGCUAUGGAAGAUGUUAAAAAAGGUUUUAGAAUUUGGGAUGUAUUAGAAUGUCAGUUCUAAGACUUUAAUUAAUUUGGGAAGGUGAUAAGGAACUUUUGAAUUGUAGGUUUGGAGUCCAGUUUUCAAUGGUAUGAACUUCUGAAUGACAUAUGAGGAAAUUGAGAUUAUUUGGAACUUUCAUUGAAUGCAGAAAAGAAAACGAUCUCUUUAGGUACAAAGUGCUAAUAGGGGCCUUAAGAGACCAGAGGUGUACCACCUAUGAAGUUUGAGUCCUAAUUUUGAAUUGAGCCCAUCCUGGAGAGAGGGACCCAUUAAAAAUUCCUAUUCUUCUUUUAGGUUUCUUGGGAGUAGAAGUAAUUCUGUACUUUAUAUUUUAGAAGGUUAUUUUAGCAAUUUUAUAUUUUUCUCUCUUUUUAAAGGAGUGUAGCACUAUGUCACUAUUUGGUUUUGAUUGGUGAAGCUUUAUUUGGAUUUUAAGCUUAGUUUCUAUAUUAGUUUGUAUCAAAGCCAAAUCUUGCUGUUGCCACCAUCAUUGCCAGUCACUGCCAAUUGCAAAAUAAUAAGAAAUCUACCACUUAUCACUAAUCACCAAUCCUCCACUUGCAACCUAGAUUUUCUAUUAAAAAGACUAUUACAAAGCAAAAGCAUCAGAGAUGACCACUCUGAUGGUCCCUAUGUACUCCUAUGUCUUAUCAGUCAAGGUGGAGGAACUCUUCAAAAUUCAAAGGUGUGUAAUGAUGCAGCAAGAUACCUACCUAUAGAUAGGUUACCUGAGUUCUUAUUGUGACCAAGCCCAUCUUGGAUGAGGGGAUGUAUUCAUAA